AUGGGAGGCGAGGGCGCCAGUUCCAGCGGCGGGGGGUUCCGCGCCCGGAUAGACCACUACCUGUACAGCGGAGAGAAGAAGCACGUCGUCGCAGGCAUCGCCAUCUUCGCUGCCAUUUUCGGGGUGCCCUGGUACCUCAUGACCCGAGGCGCAAAGCAUGACUCCCAUCAAGACUACGUGGAGCGAGCUAACAAGGCGAGGUCGGAUAGGCUUUCUUCUGGACAGCCAUCAUCACUGAAAGAAUGA
rnacentral:rRNA from 1 species